AACGAACGCUGGCGGCAUGCCUAACACAUGCAAGUCGAACGAGACCUUCGGGUCUAGUGGCGCACGGGUGCGUAACGCGUGGGAAUCUACCCUUGGGUUCGGAAUAACAGUUAGAAAUGACUGCUAAUACCGGAUGAUGACGUAAGUCCAAAGAUUUAUCGCCAAAGGAUGAGCCCGCGUAAGAUUAGCGUGUUGGUGGGGUAAUGGCCUACCAAGGCUACGAUCUUUAGCUGGUCUGAGGGUAUGAUCAGCCACACUGGGACUGAGACACGGCCCAGACUCCUACGGGAGGCAGCAGUGGGGAAUAUUGGACAAUGGGCGAAAGCCUGAUCCAGCAAUGCCGCGUGAGUGAUGAAGGCCUUAGGGUUGUAAAGCUCUUUUACCAGGGAUGAUAAUGACAGUACCUGGAGAAUAAGCUCCGGCUAACUCCGUGCCAGCCGCCGCGGUAA
rnacentral:rRNA from 1 species